AUUGAACGCUGGCGGCAGGCCUAACACAUGCAAGUCGAGCGGAUGAAGGGAGCUUGCUCCUGGAUUCAGCGGCGGACGGGUGAGUAAUGCCUAGGAAUCUGCCUGGUAGUGGGGGAUAACGUCCGGAAACGGGCGCUAAUACCGCAUACGUCCUGAGGGAGAAAGUGGGGGAUCUUCGGACCUCACGCUAUCAGAUGAGCCUAGGUCGGAUUAGCUAGUUGGUGGGGUAAAGGCCUACCAAGGCGACGAUUCGUAACUGGUCUGAGAGGAUGAUCAGUCACACUGGAACUGAGACACGGUCCAGACUCCUACGGGAGGCAGCAGUGGGGAAUAUUGAACAAUGGGCGAAAGCCUGAUCCAGCCAUGCCGCGUGUGUGAAGAAGGUCUUCGGAUUGUAAAGCACUUUAAGUUGGGAGGAAGGGCAGUAAGUUAAUACCUUGCUGUUUUGACGUUACCAACAGAAUAAGCACCGGCUAACUUCGUG
rnacentral:rRNA from 1 species